rnacentral:lncRNA from 1 species
UUGCUUGCUUGGAAGUCUGAUUGCUUACCUUGUCUGUUACCUCUUUCGGCAAAUCUCUUAGCUCGGCGACUUGGGGGACUCCUACUAUAGGGUUUGUAUCGCACUUAACCAAGCCCGAAACUACAAGUAAGCUUCAAGUGAAAUUGAUACAUUACCUUGUGCAUCUUCAUCGGUUAAAAAUACCACCCCUAGAUGGAGGAAAAGUACUUCCAAAGAAGAUGUCACAUCUACAUAUGAGACAGAUAAGGCAAGUGAAAAUGAUACCACACUUCGGUACUUAGAAGUUUCGUGGUUACUCAAUAGCUUGGAUCUUGCACGUCCCCAACCGAGGAGCUUCCCUCACUCGGGAACU